rnacentral:piRNA from 1 species
UGACACCCUGAUUACCUCUUCACGAUGUU